GACCUCUCCGGUGGCCUAGUGGUUAGAGCGUCAACCUCUGAUACAGUAGGUAGCGGGUUCGAACCCCAGCCGAGUCA